UACGUAGGGGGCAAGCGUUGUCCGGAUUUAUUGGGCGUAAAGAGCGUGUAGGCGGCCAAGCAGGUCCGCUGUGAAAACUCGAGGCUCAACCUCGAGAGGUCGGUGGAAACCGUUUGGCUAGAGUCCGGAAGAGGAGAGUGGAAUUCCCGGUGUAGCGGUGAAAUGCGCAGAGUAUCGGGAAGAACACCCGUGGCGAAGGCAGCUCUCUGGGACGGUACUGACGCUGAGACGCGAAAGCGUGGGGAGCGAACGAGG
rnacentral:rRNA from 1 species